rnacentral:misc_RNA from 1 species
GGAAGUAAACGUCGUAACAAGGUUUCCGUAGGUGAACCUGCGGAAGGAUCAUUAUUGUAUAACCGAGGUGCGAGGGCUGUCGCUGACCGGAAAGGUCGUGCACGCCCGAGUGCCCUCACACACAUCCAUCUCACCCCUAUGUGCACCACCGCGUGGGUCCCCCUUUGGCUUGUUCGGAGGGGGGCUUACGUUUUCACACAAACUUUGUAUGCAGUGUAGAAUGUAUUUUUUGUUUUUGCGAUCACGCAAUCAAUACAACUUUCAACAACGGAUCUCUUGGCUCUC